rnacentral:rRNA from 1 species
UACGGGGGGGAGCAAGCGUUGUUCGGAUUUACUGGGCGUAAAGGGCGCGUAGGCGGUCAGCACAAGUCAGUUGUGAAAUCUCCGGGCUUAACUCGGAAAGGUCAACUGAUACUGUGCGACUAGAGUGCGGAAGGGGCAACUGGAACUCUCGGUGUAGCGGUGAAAUGCGUAGAUAUCGAGAGGAACACCUGCGGCGAAGGCGGGUUGCUGGGCCGACACUGACGCUGAUGCGCGAAAGCCAGGGGAGCGAACGGG